GUGAACGCUGGCGGUAGGCCUAACACAUGCCAGUCGAACGGCAGCACAGUAAGAGCUUGCUCUUACGGGUGGCGAGUGGCGGACGGGUGAGGAAUACAUCGGAAUCUACUUUUUCGUGGGGGAUAACGUAGGGAAACUUACGCUAAUACCGCAUACGACCUACGGGUAAAAGCAGGGGAUCUUCGGACCUUGCGCGAUUGAAUGAGCCGAUGUCGGAUUAGCUAGUUGGCGGGGUAAAGGCCCACCAAGGCGACGAUCCGUAGCUGGUCUGAGAGGAUGAUCAGCCACACUGGAACUGAGACACGGUCCAGACUCCUACGGGAGGCAGCAGUGGGGAAUAUUGGACAAUGGGCGCAAGCCUGAUCCAGCCAUACCGCGUGGGUGAAGAAGGCCUUCGGGUUGUAAAGCCCUUUUGUUGGGAAAGAAAAGCAGCAGGUUAAUACCCCGCUGUUCUGACGGUACCCAAAGAAUAAGCACCGGCUAACUUCGUG
rnacentral:rRNA from 1 species